rnacentral:rRNA from 1 species
UCAAGAUGAGAUUUCCCGGGGACUUGAUCCCCCUAAAGGGUCGUUCUAGACCAGGACGUUGAUAGGUCGGGUGUGGAAGCGUGGUAACACGUUAAGCUAACCGAUACUAAUUGCCCGUGCGGCUUGAUCCU